GGAUUAGAUACCCUGGUAGUCCACGCCGUAAACUAUGCAUACAAGCUGUAGUGGAAUUUUAUUCUGCUGUGGCGAAGCUAACGCAAUUAGUAUGCCGCCUGGGGAGUACGGUCGCAAGACUAAAACUCAAAGGAAUUGACGGGGGCCCGCACAAGCGGUGGAUUAUGUGGUUUAAUUCGAAGCAACGCGCAGAACCUUACCUAGGUUUGACAUCCCACGACAAACGUAGAAAUACGUCUUUGUAGCAAUACACGUGGAGACAGGUGCUGCAUGGCUGUCGUCAGCUCGUGCCG
rnacentral:rRNA from 1 species